AUUUUCUUUCUCUCUCAACUUUUCACAGCUUUCACCAUCUAUAGCUGUCCUUGUUUACUGCUUCACAGGAAAAGGAAAAGACAAAAAAAAAAAAAAAAAAAAGUAACAGUCCAUCAAUUGGGAAACCUGCAACUCGCCAGCAGCAAGCUUUUGUCCCUUCCAACGUUCCCCACUUGGAAUGACAGGUCCUGUCCUACUCUACAGAGCACCAACCGCCAGCGUCUGCAUACGGACUACUGGAGUAGCCUUUCAUUUGUUCCUUCUCCUUUCAAUUUCAAGUGCAGUCAUGUACUGCAAAAUGAUGUUUUGGUCAAGGACAGACCACAUAUAGAAGAGUAACCUCGCUGUUCAGAUACCAGAGUGCCUUCUGGGGAGGCCUCAGGAAACUUUCAAUCAUGGAAGAAGACAAAGGGGAAGCAGGUACUACUGUCUUGCAUGGCCAGAGCAAGAGAAAGAAUGGGGAGGAGAGGCUACACACAUUUAAACAACAUGAGAACUUACUCAAUUUUACAAUAACAGCACCCAGGCAGAUGAGGCAAAAUCAUUAGAAAAUGCCCCCAUGAUCUAAUCACUACUAAUAGGUUCUGCCUCCAACAAUAAGGACUACAAAUGAACAGUAAUUUGGGUGGAGACACAGAUCCAAACCAUAUCUUUUCACCCUGGAUCCUUCCAAAUCUUAUGUCCUUUUCAUAUUGCAAAAUAGAAUCAUGAUUUUAUAACAGUCCCCCAAAGUCUUAACUCAUUUUAGCAUUCACUCAAAAUCUGCAGUCCAAAGUCUCAUCUGAGAUAAGUCACUUUUGCCAAUGAGCCUGUAACAUAAACAAUGAGUUAGUUACUUUCAAGAUACAAAGGGGGUGUAGACAUUGGAUAAAUAUUCUUGUUUCAAAACAGAAAAAUCUACCAAAAGAAAGGGGCUACAGACCCCAUGAAAAUCUGAAACCCAACAGAGCAGUCCUUAAAUCUUAAACUCCAGAAUAAUCUCCCUUGACUCCAUGUCUCACAUCCAGGACACAGGGAUGCAAC
rnacentral:lncRNA from 1 species